AGCCCGUAAUCGGAAACGAUUACUGGGCAAUGUAGUGUUUGGGAGAGCCCGUUUAACCCAAGUAAUAUUAGCGAGUCCAAGUCCUUCUUGAAGGGGGCCAAUCACCCAUAGAGGGUGCCAGGCCCGUGGUGACCGUUAAUUUAUUUGGGUGGGUUUCUCCUUAAAGUCGGGUUGCUUGARAGUGCAGCUCUAAGUGGGUGGUAAACUCCAUCUAAGGCUAAAUAUAACCACGAGACCGAUAGCGAACAAGUMCCGUGAGGGAAAGUUGAAAAGAACUUUGAAGAGAGAGUUCAAGAGUACGUGAAACCGUUUAGGGGUAAACCUGAGAAACCCGAAAGUUCGAUCGGAGAGAUUCAAUUACUUUAACCAAUAGUAAACAAUGAAUAUUUGUGACUUUUAUUAAUUUUUACAAUUUCGAUUGUAAUAUUUUUAUUUGCACAUUUGUUUGUUGUUAUUAUUAUCGGAGGUAUGCACUUCUCUCCUAGUAGGACGUCGCGACCCGUUAAGCAGCUUAUAAAUGCCAUCUACGGCUUAUAAUGGUGACCGUGGUUUGUUUGUCUUAAUAAACUUAUAAACCCGGACUUGUAAUGUUCUGAUGGCUGCUUGACGGUAGUAUAUACAGGUUAAUGGGACGUUGUUGUAAAAAUACAUCGUACGUUAUUGGUUAUAUGACAAGUAUCUAUAUGUUAUGGAAAUUUAGACUUUGUGCUGAUUCUAUAUAUAUAAUAUUGUUGGUUAUAUAAUCCUCUGACUGUCCCCGUUACCAGUCGGCGACGCUUCAGUUUUGGGUAAUUUCAGGACCCGUCUUGAAACACGGACCAAGGAGUCUAGCAUGUGCGCAAGUCAUUGGGCUAAAAAAACCUAAAGGCAUAAUGAAAGUAAAUAUUUACCUAGUGUAAAUAAAGGGAAGAUUAGUAGAAUAUUUUAUAAAAACAUACUACGCAUUCCCGGGGCGUCGCRAAACGU
rnacentral:rRNA from 1 species